CAGUAGCCGCGGUAAUACGAAGGGGGCUAGCGUUGCUCGGAAUGACUGGGCGUAAAGGGCGCGUAGGCGGCACAUACAGUCAGAUGUGAAAUUCCUGGGCUUAACCUGGGGGCUGCAUUUGAUACGUAUGAGCUAGAGUGGGGAAGAGGGUUGUGGAAUUCCCAGUGUAGAGGUGAAAUUCGUAGAUAUUGGGAAGAACACCGGUGGCGAAGGCGGCAACCUGGUCCUUGACUGACGCUGAGGCGCGAAAGCGUGGGGAGCAAACAGGAUUAGAUACCCCGGUAGUCCCUGUCUCUUAUAC
rnacentral:rRNA from 1 species